rnacentral:rRNA from 1 species
UACGAAGGGGGCUAGCGUUGUUCGGAAUUACUGGGCGUAAAGCGCGCGCAGGCGGUCUUCCAAGUCAGUGGUGAAAGCCCGGAGCUCAACUCCGGAAUUGCCAUUGAAACUGUGAGACUGGAGUACGAGAGAGGUGAGUGGAAUUCCCAGUGUAGAGGUGAAAUUCGUAGAUAUUGGGAAGAACACCAGUGGCGAAGGCGACUCACUGGCCCGAUACUUACGCUGAGGCGCGAAAGCGUGGGGAGCAAACAGG